AUAAUUCCCCUCCACCUGAAUGUGGGCUGGAGUUAGUGACUCGUUUGUGGUAAAUAGGAUGUAGAAGUGAUUGUGUGUGAUGUCAGAGACUAGGUCAUGAAAGUGAUGGUGUCUUUCGGCUUGCUCUUACUCUUGGAUGAUCUGCUCUGGGGAUAGUUGUGAGUAGGCCUGCAGCCCACAGCCAUGUGAGUGAGCCUUUUGAAGAGUGGACCUUCCAGGCCCAGUCAAGCCUUCAGAUAGUGGGACUCUGUGCUCAUGCCAGUAAGUAAAGAAGAAGGAAUAAGAAAGACACUGUGUGAUCUAGUAUUAAUAAGGAACUGGGCUUUUCUCCUCUUCUCUGCUGGAUUCUGCUGUUUCCCUCAAGGUGUUCAGAGAGUCUGCCCUGAAUCCUACAACAAGGAGAUGAGAAACACACAGUGACACCAGCAGGAGAACAUGAAGAUGUGGUGACAGUUAUCCUCCUCCUGCAGAGUCCAGAGCAGUGCACUCCUACCGCUGGUGCCCUAGCUAAGCCUGGGGGCCAGCAUGCCCGAUGAUAGUCUGGGAGUGCUGCAGAGUCCCCACAAUGGGCACCCAGCCUGUGCCCUUGCAUUCUGCAUGAUCGUGGCCAUUGUCACCUCAGAGCCCCUGUGUACAGAUCAGUGCAUCCUAGCAGAGCUGCAUGUGAGGAAAGACCACGUGAGUCCCGGGAAAGAGCUGAGGCCCUGCAGGGGAAGGUGGCCAGGACCGAGACCUGAUGCCUGUCUGGAGAAUCGUCUGUGGGUCCAAGAUGAAGGAUGAGAAGUGGUUGCUACGAAGGACCCUCCUGCAGUGAACCCACUGUGAGGAGGCUGCGCUGACCCAGCCUGUCAUUUCCUUCUCUAAGCUCAUUCCAGAGGUCGGCCAGGGGCAGAGGCAGCCCGUACCUGCCUGCUCUUGUGGCCCGUGAAUCAAGAAUGGAUUUUACAUUUCCAAAUGCCUGAACAAAUAAAAAAAUAACAAUUCAUGACACUGA